rnacentral:rRNA from 1 species
GUCGAACGGUAACAAGUUAAGCUGACGAGUGGCGAACGGGUGAGUAAUGUAUCGGAACGUGCCCAGUCGUGGGGGAUAACUGCUCGAAAGAGCAGCUAAUACCGCAUACGACCUGAGGGUGAAAGCGGGGGAUCGCAAGACCUCGCGCGAUUGGAGCGGCCGAUAUCAGAUUAGGUAGUUGGUGAGGUAAAGGCUCACCAAGCCGACGAUCUGUAGCUGGUCUGAGAGGACGACCAGCCACACUGGGACUGAGACACGGCCCAGACUCCUACGGGAGGCAGCAGUGGGGAAUUUUGGACAAUGGGCGCAAGCCUGAUCCAGCCAUGCCGCGUGCGGGAAGAAGGCCUUCGGGUUGUAAACCGCUUUUGUCAGGGAAGAAAAGGUUCUGGCUAAUACCUGGGACUCAUGACGGUACCUGAAGAAUAAGCACCGGCUAACUACGUGCCAGCAGCCGCGGUAAUACGUAGGGUGCAAGCGUUAAUCGGAAUUACUGGGCGUAAAGCGUGCGCAGGCGGUUAUGCAAGACAGAGGUGAAAUCCCCGGGCUCAACCUGGGAACUGCCUUUGUGACUGCAUGGCUAGAGUACGGUAGAGGGGGAUGGAAUUCCGCGUGUAGCAGUGAAAUGCGUAGAUAUGCGGAGGAACACCGAUGGCGAAGGCAAUCCCCUGGACCUGUACUGACGCUCAUGCACGA